CGUGGCGCUGCUACUCAGCAGAGCAAAUAUGCUAUGUUACCAGUGCAUAUUUGUAGCUUUUUUUCUGCUUUGCAUUCUGCCAACGUUGCAGCUAGGAGGUCCAUCAUAUGCUGUAGCAAGGGGCGGGAAAAGACCUGCAUGUGGUCACAUCCCAAAAACACUAAGAACUCGCGCUCCUAAACGUCCAGGCCCUCCUCCUGCUAUGAAAAAUUUUGGAUGAUGCCACUACUUUUUCCAAGGCAUUCACAGCUAUGUCUCCGGAUGCUGUAUUAAGGCUUUGUCAGCUAACCGGAGAAAAACAUGGCAGAAUCAAUGUGCCGAGAAAUCUUGAGGAUGCUUGAGCUUUCCCAGCAAGAAUGGAGCCUCGUCAACAUCAUCUUCCGAAUCCGUAGCAUAGCUUCGCUUCACUUUUCGGUAGACAUUUCAAACAUGCCACAAGGAA